rnacentral:rRNA from 1 species
AUUGAACGCUGGCGGCAGGCCUAACACAUGCAAGUCGAGCGAGCGGCGGACGUGUGAGUAAUUCUUGGGUAUCUGCCUUAUGGAGGGGGAUAACUACGGGAAACUGUAGCUAAUACCGCCUACCAUCCGAUGAGCCCAUAUGGGAUUAGCUAGUCGGUGAGGUAAAGGCUCACCAAGCCGACGAUCUCUAGCUGGUCUGAGAGGAUGACCAGCCACACUGGGGCUGUGACACGGCCCAGACUCCUACGGGAGGCAGCAGUGGGGAAUAUUGCGCAAUGGGCGCACUCCUGAUGCAGCCAUGCCGCGUGAAUGAAGAAGGCCUGCGGGUUGUAAAGUUCUUGCAGUCGGGAGGCGUUAACUACAGAAGAAGCACCGGCUAACUCCGUGCCAGCAGCCGCGGUAAUAC